AUUUUCAUUUGAAAAGCAGAAUAGUCCUUAAUUAUUUGAUGAGAAUCCUUAAUGUUCAUUCUCUUGUUGUUUAUUUUUUUUCCUUAGACGUCAACAAUCCGGGUAACUCUUGAAGUAUAUUGCAGAGUAGCACCAUUUCAUAUAGGGUGGGGCUGGGAAAGAAGAGCCAAGAUUGCCGGAGUGGUAGAGACGGCCAGAAACAGGCGGGUGUCCUGCAGGAGCAACACGUUGUUCGGUUACUGCCCGUCCUUCGAAAUGUCAUAGAGUCUUAAAAUAUGAAGCAGUUCAAAACAGUCACACAGGUGCCACAGGCCUUCCACAUUGAAAGGUCAGGAACACAAGUUAGAGGCACUGGCAUCCGAAUCAUCACCCGCUGGCGGCUUUGCGAAGGUAAAAUGUAAAUGCUUCCUUUGAACUCCAGCGGGCUCUCUUGGUGGGACCGGGGGGCGGGGGGGGGGUGUUUUUAGGGAGAUGUAUACAGACAUUCUGAACAGAGGGGUAAGGUCUGGUUUUAGGAGAAAAGAGGAAUUUUACGAUGAAUGAUUCUUUACCAUCUCCGAGGAGGAACUGUGAAAAAAACUAGCCAGGUGAUGAAGUAGAAGAGCGAAUAGUAUUAACGACUCCCUCUGUGUCCUGCCAGCUGAAGAACGCCGCGCCUGUCGCAGGAGAUGAUGAAGGAAGACGAGCCACAGACCAGCCUUCUUGCUUGGCCAGAAGCGAAACCUUGUGAAAGUGACCCAGAGAGGCCCCGUGGUUGGCCCGGCCCCGGCUCCCUGGCCUCGGGUGGGCCUGCGGAGGGUCCAGCAAGUGGUCCAGCAGGAGGCCCAGGAGGAUGUCCAGCAGGUGGCCCCGCAGGUCCUCUCCACAGCCUGCGUGAACCUGCAACGAGUAGAACUGAGGAAACCAAACUUACUUGGUUUCAGUCCUGCCUUCGCCGAGGGCCUCACACGGGCAGACUAAAAUGUGAUUUCGUCUCGGUUUGCUGUUCGGAGGGGAAGGAUGGCUGGGUGCUCUCCCCCGGGGUGCGCUCCUGGAGCCCGAGGCCUGGGGAAGCUGGUUCUUUCCGUUUGUGGAGUCGGGGUGGGGGGGGACACGGAAGCCCUGGGUGACUCUGAGGCUUGGGCAAGGCAUUCCGUGAGCUUCCGUGUCCCCCAAAGGGUCGAUGAUGGGAUAAGGAGCCCACGGGGCUGCUGCCCGAGCCAGAGAAGGUAAUCCUAACAACCACCCAAAUGUAUCAUCUUGGAAUAAAUUUCUAAGGAGUAAUUGUGCA
rnacentral:lncRNA from 1 species